UCUCCGUUGGUGAACCAGCGGAGGGAUCAUUACCGAGUUUACAACUCCCAAACCCAAUGUGAACGUUACCAAACUGUUGCCUCGGCGGGGUCACGCCCCGGGUGCGUCGCAGCCCCGGAACCAGGCGCCCGCCGGAGGAAUCAACCAAACUCUUUCUGUAGUCCCCUCGCGGACGUUAUUUCUUACAGCUCUGAGCAAAAAUUCAAAAUGAAUCAAAACUUUCAACAACGGAUCUCUUGGUUCUG
rnacentral:misc_RNA from 1 species